GUGAAUCAUCAAAUCUUUGAACGCAAAUUGCACUCUCCUCGGAGAGUAUGACUGUUUGAGGGUCAGCCUAUAAAAAAUCGACAUCGUUGCUGUUUCGCGGUGGCGUUCGUCGGAAAUUGGGUUAUCUUAAAUCCUUUUGGGUUUUAAGCGACUUAAAAUUUUGUUUUUGAUUCCAUGAACGUUUCUAAGAUUUAUUUCUUUACACUUUUAAGGUAUCGAUUUUUAUUAGACGUGACCAUCAUAUUGGAUUGCGUCCAGAAUU
rnacentral:misc_RNA from 1 species